rnacentral:rRNA from 1 species
GGGAAUAUUGCACAAUGGGCGAAAGCCUGAUGCAGCAACGCCGCGUGAGUGAUGAAGGCCUUCGGGUUGUAAAGCUCUGUCUUCUGGGACGAUAAUGACGGUACCAGAGGAGGAAGCCACGGCUAACUACGUGCCAGCAGCCGCGGUAAUACGUAGGUGGCAAGCGUUGUCCGGAUUUACUGGGCGUAAAGGAUGCGUAGGCGGAUACUUAAGUCAGAUGUGAAAAUCCCGGGCUUAACUUGGGAACUGCAUUUGAAACUGGGUAUCUAGAGUGCGGGAGAGGAAAGUGGAAUUCCUAGUGUAGCGGUGAAAUGCGUAGAGAUUAGGAAGAACACCAGUGGCGAAGGCGACUUUCUGGACCGUAACUGACGCUGAGGCAUGAAAGCGUGGGGAGCAAACA